CUAAACCUGGCAGUUGGUUACGUGAAGGAAUGAGGAGGGGUGGGAAGGAAGAAGUUCCAAUUGAUCCGCAGGCCUUUCCAUCCAACGCAGGAAUUAAUAUUCUCUGCGCCUUUUCUUCUCCGAGAAGCGUCUCGUUUGGUGUCUGGAUUUUCGAGACAUAUACCGUGAUCUUCCGCCCGCCAUAGUUGCCAGGAAACGUCUGAACCGAGGGACGGUAUUUCAUUUAAUUUGUAAAAGAUUAGAUCAAAAUCCAAUGGCAUUUUUAUUUACAAAUUUUCAAUUGUAAACUUGUAUUAAGUUUUUAAUCAUGAUAAAUGAUUUUGAAAUCGGGCUGUUAGAAUACCAUUUGAUAAACAAUAUAGCUGCAAAAAAUACUGCUUCAUAUGAAUAUUAAUAAAUCCAUUUAACAUAGUAUGUUAUAUAUCGCAUUUUAGACACAAAUAUAUAGCAACAAAAUAGUAAUUGUGUGACAUUCAAAUAAGAUUCCAUGCAUAAUGUAAUUAAUUGCAAAAUAUUGUUCGAUUUGAUUUCCUAUUUUAUGUAUUUAAAUAUUUACCGCAAAAUGUUUUAAUUGAAUUCAAAUGUUUUUAAAUGCCAAAGUAAUCCUGAUUAAUAGAUUAUGGAGAAUGGUUUAAUGAGAUAUUAAGAACAUCUUUCGCAUGAAUUUCAGGAAUACCCCCUCUGAAAUUAUAAAAGUACAAAGAGCAUAUUUUAGGAAUUGGAGAAUGUUCAAGUGUAUGGAAAAAACACAAUAAAGACGAUGAAAGAAGACCCAAAGUGAAUCAACAGGUAGGAAAGAAUAGGAUAGGACUGCAUACUGAACAACAUUGGGAAGCAAUAAAAUUCGUUCCUACUGGAAAAGGAAAAACCGUGUACCUCCUUUAUUCGAAUUCAGAGCUGAUAUUUUAUUAAUUCCGGAGGGACGUGAAGUGAACAUAUAUUUUCGUUCCUUUUCUUCCAACCAGGAGAUGCUUUUAUGCUGUUGAUUUGUUUUCCUUGGAUUAGCAUUCGCUAAUCUUUAUCGUCUAAUUGUUACGGUUCGCUGUUAUAUAUAUUGCUGCAAUAAAAAUGCAAACUGGUUUAA